GAUGAACGCUGGCGGCGUGCCUAAUACAUGCAAGUCGAGCGAACGGACGAGAAGCUUGCUUCUCUGAUGUUAGCGGCGGACGGGUGAGUAACACGUGGAUAACCUACCUAUAAGACUGGGAUAACUUCGGGAAACCGGAGCUAAUACCGGAUAAUAUUUUGAACCGCAUGGUUCAAAAGUGAAAGACGGUCUUGCUGUCACUUAUAGAUGGAUCCGCGCUGCAUUAGCUAGUUGGUAAGGUAACGGCUUACCAAGGCAACGAUGCAUAGCCGACCUGAGAGGGUGAUCGGCCACACUGGAACUGAGACACGGUCCAGACUCCUACGGGAGGCAGCAGUAGGGAAUCUUCCGCAAUGGGCGAAAGCCUGACGGAGCAACGCCGCGUGAGUGAUGAAGGUCUUCGGAUCGUAAAACUCUGUUAUUAGGGAAGAACAUAUGUGUAGGUAACUGUGCACAUCUUGACGGUACCUAAUCAGAAAGCCACGGCUAACUACGUGCCAGCAGCCGCGGUAAUACGUAGGUGGCAAGCGUUAUCCGGAAUUAUUGGGCGUAAAGCGCGCGUAGGCGGUCUUUUAAGUCUGAUGUGAAAGCCCACGGCUCAACCGUGGAGGGUCAUUGGAAACUGGAAAACUUGAGUGCAGAAGAGGAAAGUGGAAUUCCAUGUGUAGCGGUGAAAUGCGCAGAGAUAUGGAGGAACACCAGUGGCGAAGGCGACUUUCUGGUCUGUAACUGACGCUGAUGUGCGAAAGCGUGGGGAUCAAACAGGAUUAGAUACCCUGGUAGUCCACGCCGUAAACGAUGAGUGCUAAGUGUUAGGGGGUUUCCGCCCCUUAGUGCUGCAGCUAACGCAUUAAGCACUCCGCCUGGGGAGUACGACCGCAAGGUUGAAACUCAAAGGAAUUGACGGGGACCCGCACAAGCGGUGGAGCAUGUGGUUUAAUUCGAAGCAACGCGAAGAACCUUACCAAAUCUUGACAUCCUUUGACAACUCUAGAGAUAGAGCCUUCCCCUUCGGGGGACAAAGUGACAGGUGGUGCAUGGUUGUCGUCAGCUCGUGUCGUGAGAUGUUGGGUUAAGUCCCGCAACGAGCGCAACCCUUAAGCUUAGUUGCCAUCAUUAAGUUGGGCACUCUAAGUUGACUGCCGGUGACAAACCGGAGGAAGGUGGGGAUGACGUCAAAUCAUCAUGCCCCUUAUGAUUUGGGCUACACACGUGCUACAAUGGACAAUACAAAGGGCAGCGAAACCGCGAGGUCAAGCAAAUCCCAUAAAGUUGUUCUCAGUUCGGAUUGUAGUCUGCAACUCGACUACAUGAAGCUGGAAUCGCUAGUAAUCGUAGAUCAGCAUGCUACGGUGAAUACGUUCCCGGGUCU
rnacentral:rRNA from 1 species